GGAAUGGGGUGUCCACAGCCUCCUUGGGCAACCUGUUUCAGUGCUUCACCACCCUCUGAGUGAAAAACUUCCUUGUAAUGUCUAACCCUAGACCUCCCCUGUCUUAAUUUAAAACCAUUUCCCCUUGUCCUAUUGCUAUCCACCCUUGUAAAAGAUAGGAUCUGAGAGAUCUGCUCUCCCUGCAGUUGUUGUGAAUAGGUUUGUGUUUUCUGAGCUGAGAGGAAAGCCAUAUACGCAGCAAUUUGCCUUUUAAGGUUUUGCUUCACUGCACACCAUGCCUCACUGACUCGCACAGCUCCUUUCAGGCACUUCCUCAAUUUUAAUGUGGUGCUGUUUCCAUAAUAUGUAAUAAACACCACUGAGGCUGAUAGUUCAGUUUUGAACAGGGUGAAUGUAGUGAGAUCCCUGAUGCUGAAAGAAUAACAAGGCUGAAAAGUCCUCUGCGCUUCAAUAUGCACUACUGCUUGCUGCACUGUGCCAUAAUGAAAGCUGAAUGCCUGCCUUCCUCCUCACUUCUCACACAGUAACACUUUAUCUGAGGGGAAAACCGACUGUCUGUAGUUACUGCAGAAACCACUCACAGCUGAGACAGGGUAAGUGAAGGGAAUAGAAAUGAGAGAGAGGUGUGCAUGGUUGUCAUAUGAUCUCUGCAGCAUCCCCGCACUGUUGCAAAUUCAGCCAUACGUUUCUGGGUUUAUGCUGAGUUUGUGGACUUGGACUGUCUGACUGGCACCUUCUCUUGGCAUGUUAGUUCUGUCUGCCCCUCCCUUCUACAGAGCUGAGUGUGGAUGGAGGUAUGGAAAUGCUCUGCAUAGGCAGUGAAGCGACCACAUCUGAUAAGGAAGUCCUGAGCUCUAGGAACUGCUGUACAUGGGAGGAUUUAAAUGGUGGUGUUGACUGAUUUUAUUUUUUUCUUCAAGAGCAGUAAAACGAUGUUCAUUCAGGGCUUAAUGAGCCAUCACUACAGAUUAACACGCUGGGAGCAUCUUCAUCCUGCCAUCUCUGCUGCUCCAUGGGGAAAGCAGGCUGACGUGGUUAUUAAAUCUGGCAGCUGUGUUGUGUGCACAUGGGAAACAAGCAGAGUACAGCAUAUAGAACAUGAGUAGCUUUCAGAAAGAAGCCUUCCAUUCACUGCUACAAGGCUUGAAAGGCAGACUAAAAAGCUUUCUCCUUUUGGAAUCACCAGUUGCUGGGACAGUGUGCAAAUACUACAAAUGCAGUAGCAAACUUGCAAAUUUACAUUCCUGCUAAUCUGUACAUGAACUGUGAAAACAUGAGGGCUACCCCAAAAGUGAUGGCCAGGUAAUGGCUGUUUUCAGUGAGGACCUCGCAUGGAUCAGCUGCAAUAAGGGAUCCUGGAGAGAGGUCUUGGAGAACAGAAGAGGUGUCUGAAGAGUGGAGAAUAGCCAGUGUCACUGCAGAAAGGGAAAGAAGGAGGGUCCGGGAGACUACAGGCCAGUCAGUCUCCCCUCUGUCCCUGGGAAAGUGACAGAACAGCUUGUUCUGGAUGCACCUCUGAGCAAUUGGAAGACAAGUUAUCAGGUGUAGUCAGCGUGGAUUCUCCGAGGGGAAAUCAUGUUCAACCAACCUCGUAGCCUUCUAUGAUGGAUGGAUAGAUGAGGGGAGAGCUGUGGAUGUUGUCUGUGUUGACUUCAGCAAGGCUUCUGAUGCUGUCUCCCAUGUCAUCUUGAUAACGAAGCUGAGAAAGUGUGGGAUAGAUGAGUGGACAGUGAGAUGUGUUGAGAAUUGGUUGAGCUGAAAGGGCGGUGAUCAGUGAUGCAGAGUCCAGUUGCAGACCUGUGACUAGCAGUGCUCCCCCGGGGGUCAGUGAUGGAUCUGGUCUUGUUCAGGGUCUCCAUGAAUUACCUUGAUGAGGAGAUAGUGUCCGCUCUCAGCAGGUAUGCUGAUGCUACAAAGCUGGGAGGAGUGACUGACAUCUGAUGGCUGUGCUGCCAUUCAGCAAGAGCUGGACAGGCUGGAGAGCUGGGCAGUAAGAAACCAGGUGAGGUUUAACAAAAGCAGGUGUAGAGUCCUGCAUCUGGGAGGAAAUAACUGCAAGUAUCACUAUAGGUGGUUGCAUGACCUUCUGGAGAGGAGCUCUGUGAAGGACCUGGGGGUCCUGGUGGACAAAAGUUUGGCCAUGAGCCCUUGUGUAUGCCCUUGUGGCCAAGAGUGCCAAUGGAAUCCUGGGGUGCAUUAAAAGGAGCAUGGCCAGCAGGG